rnacentral:ribozyme from 1 species
AAAAAUAAGCAUCCAAUAAAGAAGUCAAAAAAAAAAAUCUCAAUAACCUAAGGAUCUGCGAGAGAGAUUAGUGAUUGAGCUUUGACUUUCCAUCUAACAAUUCUCUUUAUUUUUUCCCCUCUUCUCUUUCUAACUUGAUU